CAAAAACUAAAUGACCUGCAAACUAACAGUCUCUGUAUGCUUGGUCAUAAGUUUAGUUGAUUCAGAUUUAUCUUAGUAAAGUAAAAUAUAUUUUGCACGAUGACUGUAUGUUUUGAUUUGGCUACAUUUUCUUACUUUCAGAGUUGCAACCAUCCUCCACUGAACACUGAUCACAAGAAAUGAUUUUCAAAGAGCUGGACCAGCUGUUUCAAACCUUUUCAGGUUUCAGGGAUCAUUUCUUGGAUACCAAUGGAGGAGUUCUAAGGCCUUUGCAAGUGUCUGUGCUGCUGUUAAAUUUAAUGGGCUCCAGCUGUGCAGGGGUGCUGUCAAGAAAAAAAGAACAAACUCAUGAAGAAUAAACAGGGAAACAGGUUAAAAUAUUGCUGAGGUGCAAGCAUUGAGCAUCAAAGACCUGUGAUCAUUUUACUGAUCUGUAUCAACAAUCUCUAUGCAACAA
rnacentral:lncRNA from 1 species